rnacentral:rRNA from 1 species
GGACGGGUGAGUAACGCGUGGGUAACCUACCCCAAAGUCCGGGAUAACAGCGGGAAACCGCUGCUAAUACCGGAUGCCUUUACCUUGGGGCAUCUUGAGGUAAAGAAAGGUAACGCUUUGGGAUGGGCCCGCGUCCCAUUAGCUAGUUGGUGAGGUAACGGCUCACCAAGGCGACGAUGGGUAGCCGGCCUGAGAGGGUGGACGGCCACACUGGGACUGAGACACGGCCCAGACUCCUACGGGAGGCAGCAGUAGGGAAUAUUGCGCAAUGGACGGAAGUCUGACGCAGCGACGCCGCGUGAGCGAUGAAGGUCUUCGGAUCGUAAAGCUCUGUCCUUGGGGAAGAAGGUCUUCGGACUUGACGGUACCCAAGAAGAAAGCCCCGGCUAACUACGUGCCAGCAGCCGCGGUAAUACGUAGGGGGCGAGCGUUGUCCGGAAUUACUGGGCGUAAAG